rnacentral:rRNA from 1 species
CACGUAGGGUGCAAGCGUUGUCCGGAUUCAUUGGGCGUAAAGGGCUAGUAGGCGGCUUAGCAAGUCGGGUGUGAAAUUUCCAGGCUUAACCUGGAACCGCCAUCCGAUACUGCUAUGGCUAGAGUCCGGUAGGGGGACCACGGAAUACCUGGUGUAGCGGUGAAAUGCGCAGAUAUCAGGUGGAACACCGAUGGCGAAGGCAGUGGUCUGGGCCGGGCACUGACGCUGAAUAGCGAAAGCGUGGGUAGCGAACAGG